GACGAACGCUGGCGGCGUGCUUAAUACAUGCAAGUCGAACGGAAAGGCCCGGCUCUUGUUGGGUGCUCGAGUGGCGAACGGGUGAGUAACACGUGAGGAACCCGCCCUUGACUUUGGGAUAACACCAGGAAACUGGGGCUAUAAUCGGACAGGAGCUCCUGCGUCACAGGGGGGGUUGGAAAGUUUCGGCGGUUUGCGAUGGACUCGCGGCUUAGCUGCGUGUUGGCGGGGUAGUGGCUUACCCAGGCUUUGACGGGUAGCCGGCCUGAGAGGGUGACCGGCCCCAUUGGGAACGGGAUGCGGCCCAGGGGCCUCCGGGGGGCAGGAGUGGAGUAUAUUGCACCAUCGGCGGGAGCGUGAUGCAGCAACGCCGCGUGCGAGAUGCCGGCCUUCGGGUUGUAAGCCGCUUUCGCUUGUGACGAAGCGUGAGUGACGGUACUUGCUAAAGAAGCACCGGCUACUUACGU
rnacentral:rRNA from 1 species